rnacentral:lncRNA from 1 species
UUCAGAUAAUAUGUGGGCAUUUUCUUGAUUAAAGAUUGAUGUGGGAGGGCACAGCCCACUGUAGGCUGCACUACCUCUGACCAAGUGGUCCUGAGUUGUAUGAAAAUGGAGGUGGAGUAAGCCCUGGGAACAAGCCUGCUUUAGCUUCCUCCAUGGUGCUUCAGUUGUUACCUUGACCUUCCUUCACAGUGGGCUGUAAGCUGGCAGCGGAAAUAAACCCCUUCCUCCCCAGUGUGGUUUUUGUCCUGCGGUUUGUCCAAACAACAGAAAGCAAUCUAAUCUAGCACACUAGAAAUGUGGAGAGGACACAACAUUCCAACGAUGCCUUUGUUUCACAAAGCAGUGUAUGUGAGGAAAUAAGAAUAAGUUUAAACAAUUUAUGAAUAUUUUCAUUAUUUAAUCUUUUUUUCUGAUUCAAUUAUUUCUAGUCUUCAUAGGGGAUUCUUAGUAUAAUACUUGGAGGUUACAGGUGACAGCAAUCCAAGGUGCAGGUAAAACUAUCUAAUAGGUUUGUCAUCUCAGAAUGAAAAAUAAAAGAACGGUCAUGAGGAGUUUUUAUACUACAGCCAUUGGUAUACUUUGGGCCUCCAGCUGCAUAAUGCACUUGCCUACUUUUCGAGCUGUUGUCUUUGGGCAUUCUCAAACAGCUUCUUCAAACAUAUAUAUGGCAAGUAACUGAGUGUGUGGGGUAUUGUCAGUCGUGGAUCUGAGAGGGGACCAUAGGACUGUAUUCCUUCAUUCUGACUGUAGGUAGAUUCUGGGAGAAAGAUAGAUGCUGUCUUUAGUUAUAGUCCCACUGAUGAACCCACCAGGCUAGAGUGGAUAUUUGCAAACCCAUAUCACACAGAUCACCCUGACAGGAGUAGGGGAAAGGAGUUCUUAGGGGCAGGGGUUAGGAAAGUUAAUGGGCCUCAGAGCGGGUGGUGUGUUGAUAAUCAGGAUGCAUUCUCCAUACACAUAUGAAAUUUUCAAAGAACAAAUUAGUAUAAGUUAUAAUGAAAUGAAUUUGAGGGUUAAGGAAAAAUUGACAACAGUUAGCAUUUCUGAAUACAUGCCAAUCAAGAUUUAAUUAAAAAUUAAAUGCAUAAUGAAGCCAAGGCACUUGUGGGAGGCAGCAAUUCCUUCUGUCAUAUUACAUCACUACACUAUAGUCUUGCUGCAAAACAACAACACAGACACCUUGUAUUAAGUGCACUGACUACAGAAUGAGAGUGUCUGCUGCUGGAAAGAUACAGGCUCAGAUUUGAGAGUGUGCU